rnacentral:rRNA from 1 species
CCAGCAGCCGCGGUAAUUCCAGCUCCAAUAGCGUAUAUUAAAGUUGUUGCAGUUAAAACGCUCGUAGUCUGAUGUAAUGGGGAUUGGAGUGGGGAGCAGCGAUGCUCUUUGCUUUGGUCCUCAUCAAGGGGGCAGCAAUGUCCCAUUUUACUUUGAGGAAAUUAGAGUGUUCUAGGCAGGCUUGCGCCGGAAUACAUUAGCAUGGAAUAAUAGAAUAGGACUUUAGUCUCCUUUGUUGGUUUGAGGGAUUGAAGUAAUGAUUAAUAGGGAUAGUUGGGGGCAUUAGUAUUUAAUUGUCAGAGGUGAAAUUCUCGGAUUUGUUAAAGACUAACUUAUGCGAAAGCAUUUGC